rnacentral:tRNA from 1 species
CGGGGUGUAGCGCAGCUGGUAGCGCGCCUGGUUUGGGACCAGGAUGUCGGGGGUUCAAAUCCCUUCACUCCGACCA